ensembl:snRNA U6 U6 spliceosomal RNA
GUGUUACCAUCUUGGCUCUGAUAGCACAUAUACUAAAAUUAGAAUAGUACAGAGAAAAUUAGUAUGACUCCUAUGAGAGGGUAACACAAAUUUGUGAAGCAUUUUAUAGUUUC